rnacentral:misc_RNA from 1 species
UUUCCGUAGGUGAACCUGCGGAAGGAUCAUUAUUGGAUUUUGACACUUCAGCCUGCUGCCGGCUCUCCUCGGAGCGCCUGUGCACGCUUGUCGUCCAUUAUCUCUCCCACUGUGCACAAAUUGUAGACCUUUCAGUAGGCCUAUGUUGUUUUGCACAAUCUCAGAAUGUAUUAGAAUAGUUUUUGAUCUUGGGAAAUACAAUACAACUUUCAGCAACGGAUCUCUUGGCUCUC